GACGAACCGUCCAAACGUUGUUCGGAAUCACUGGGCUUAAAGGGCGCGUAGGCGGGUCAGCAAGUCUAGGGUGAAAUCCUCCGGCUCAACCGGAGAACAGCCUUGGAUACUGCUGGUCUCGAGGGAGGUAGGGGUCUGUGGAACUUCUGGUGGAGCGGUGAAAUGCGUUGAUAUCAGAAGGAACGCCGGUGGCGAAAGCGACGGACUGGACCUCCACUGACGCUGAGGCGCGAAAGCUAGGGGAGCAAACGGG
rnacentral:rRNA from 1 species